GCUCCUAGUUUAUUUCUAUUUUGGAGUGGAUUUGUGACGGUCACCGGCUACGGCUUCCUUCUCUGGUUUUCAAAAAUCUCUGCAACAUUGCUACACUAUUUCAUGUUCCUAUAGAGUCAAUUUCAAAUCUGUCAGAAACAUAUUUUCAAGUCUUUUUUUUUUAAUUAUUCUUUAAUUAUUAUUAUUAUUAUUGUUGUUGUUGUUGUUGUUGUUCGACUUCGAGAUUUUUCUCUUCUGAUUUCCUCUUCCUUUUCAGUUGGCUGCCCAAAUUGCUGGUUUCAGUUAGGAACUGGAAACAUUUAUAGGGUUUUGUUUUGGAUCCCAUGGAUACUUCAAUUGCUGAAGUCUGUUUCACAACUUAAUUUUACUUCCUCUUAAAUUUUUGAUAAGGCCAGGCCUGCAUAGGAAGAAUUUGGUUUUUGUUGUGCUGGUGGAAAAACCAUGGUAGGGAAUUCAUUAGCUCAGGUUUCAAAAUGCUCUGCUACCAUGUUAUCAUCAUCGUUGAUUGUUGUACCCAAUGGUUCUUCGAGCUUCUUGCCCUAUCUUCCAUCACGACAGAAAAAACAAGUCAGGCUGGUCAGAGCUAUGUCAGCGGACGCAGGACCUAGCCAAGCAUCCUCAUCUUCAUCAGAGAAAAAGAAUCCACUUGCAGUUGUUUUGGAGGUUCCUCAAAAUGUUUGGAGGCAAACAUUAAAGCCAUUGAGUGAUUUUGGCUUUGGAAGGAGGAGCAUUUGGGAAGGUGGAGUUGGGCUGUUUCUUGUGUCAGGUGCUGUACUUUUUGCACUUAGUUUGGCUUGGUUGAGGGGGUUUCAAUUACGUUCGAAAUUCAGGAAGUAUUUGGCUGUAUUUGAGUUUGCUCAAGCCGGUGGUAUUUGCACGGGAACCCCAGUUAGGAUUAGAGGGGUGACUGUUGGCAAUGUCAUCAAAGUUAAUCCUUCCUUAAGAUGUAUUGAAGCAGUUGUUGAGGUUGAAGAUGAUAAAAUAAUCAUACCCAGAAAUUCGCUAAUCGAGUUGAACCAGUCAGGUCUUCUUAUGGAAACAAUCAUUGAUAUUACACCUAAAGAUCCAAUUCCAUCACCAUCUGUUGGACCUCUUGAUGCUGAAUGCAUUAAGGAAGGUCUAAUUGUAUGCGACAGGCAAAAGAUAAAGGGACGUCAAGGAGUGAGUUUAGAUGAAUUGGUUGGAAUAUUUACCCGUCUAGGACGUGAAAUGGAGGAAAUUGGUGUUUCGAAGGGUUAUACACUGGCUGAACGUGUUGCUGCUGUAAUUGAAGAUGCAAAACCACUGCUUACAAAGUGAUAUCUCAGAUCGAGGAAAUGGCUGAAGAUAUUCAACCUUUGCUAGCUGAGGUUCGUGAUGGUGGUCUUCUUAAGGAAGUUGAAACUUUGACUAGAAGCCUAACGCAAGCCUCUGAAGAUUUAAGAAGGGCACAUGCAUCUAUUAUGACCCCCGAGAACACUGAGUUGAUUCAAAAGUCCAUUUACAGUCUGAUAUUUACUUUGAAAAACAUUGAGAAUAUAAGCUCUGAUAUUCUGGGAUUUACGGGUGAUGAAGUUACAAGACGGAACUUGAAAGCACUUAUCAAGUCUCUAAGUAGGAUGUUAUGAAGACAAGUAAAAAGUGAGAAUAGCAAUGGUAACUCUCAAAGUUGAUCAGGUGCCUGAAAUGGUUUCCUUCAUUAUGCUUGACACAUGACAGAGCCAUAGUGAAUCUUACAGGUCAUCUCCCUUCUGGUUGCAUUUGUGAAGAAGGCUUCAACUUAGAGGUACUUAUUGCAUUCUUUUUAAUAAAGUUAUGUGAGAUGUUUCUCUUAACCCAGUCAGAAUUGAAUGGAGGAAGCUUUUUAAUGGAAGCUUUUUUGUUAUAGAAAACUUGUGAUUACCAUUUUGAAUACUUGGAAAAGCUUUCAUUUUCUCCUGGGAUUUUGUUUCCCAGCUAAAAGAAAGUUCCAUUCUGGAGAAGAUAGAAUGCCAUUACUGCUUGAUGAAUUUUUUUUUUAUCUGCAUGGUCUUUUUUUUUUUUUCACCGUCCUUGAAAGGCUGACAAAUGAAAUCAUGAAUUUAUUUUUCUUUUUAAAUUGCUAACUUGGAACUAUAUUCCUAUUUAUUUGUGGUUUGAAUUGUCUUCUAAAAAGACAAAAGACAGAGUCCUGAUUCAUUCUUAUCCGAAUCUUGUUGA